rnacentral:rRNA from 1 species
UACGUAGGGGGCAAGCGUUGUCCGGAGUUACUGGGCGUAAAGCGCACGCAGGCGGUCUGCUAAGUUUGGAGUGACAGUUGGUGGCUUAACUGCCAAAGUGCUUCGAAAACUGACAGACUUGAGGGCUUCAGAGGGACACGGAAUUCCGGGUGGAGUGGUGAAAUGCGUAGAGAUCCGGAGGAACACCAAAGGCGAAGGCAGUGUCCUGGGGAGUACCUGACGCUCAGGAGCGAAAGCGUGGGGAGCGAACAGG